AUUGAACGCUGGCGGCAGGCCUAACACAUGCAAGUCGAGCGAGCGGCGGACGGGUGAGUAAUGUCUGGGAAACUGCCUGAUGGAGGGGGAUAACUAGUGGAAACGGUAGCUACUACCGCAUACCCUCUGAUGUGCCCAGAUGGGAUCAGCUAGUAGGGUGGGUAAUGGCUCACCGAGGCGACGAUCCCUAGCUGGGCUGUGAAUAUGACCAGCCACACUGGAACGGAGACACGGGACAGCCCACUACGGGAGGCAGCAGAGGGGAAUAUUGAAAAAGGGUCGAACGUCUGAUGCAGCCAUGCCGCGUGUGUGAAGAAGGCCUUCGGUUUGUAAAGCAUUUUCAGCGAGGAGGCGUUACUCGCAGAAGAAGCACCGGCUAACUCCGUGCCAGCAUCCGCGGCAAUAC
rnacentral:rRNA from 1 species